UACGUAGGUGGCGAGCGUUGUCCGGAUUUACUGGGCGUAAAGAGCGCGCAGGCGGUCGUUCAAGUCGGGUGUUAAACCCCCAGGCUCAACCUGGGGACGCCACUCGAUACUGCUGUGACUAGAGUCCGGUAGGGGAGCGUGGAAUUCCUGGUGUAGCGGUGAAAUGCGCAGAUAUCAGGAGGAACACCAGCGGCGAAGGCGGCGCUCUGGGCCGGUACUGACACUGAGGAGCGAAAGCGUGGGUAGCAAACAGG
rnacentral:rRNA from 1 species